rnacentral:tRNA from 1 species
AGGGGCGUAGCUCAAUUGGUAGAGUAGCGGUCUCCAAAACCGUUGGUUGCAGGUUCGAGCCCUGCCGCCCCUGC